rnacentral:sRNA from 1 species
AUCUUCGGCCUGCUGCGGACAGAUGAAGUGGAUGUGGCUGUCGAUGCCGCCGGCAGUGAGAAUGGAUCCUUCGCCGGCAAUGAUCUCGGUCGCCGCACCGAUGGCCAUGGUAACGUUAGGCUGGAUAUCGGGGUUUCCGGCCUUGCCAAUGGCGGCUAUCUUGCCGUCUUUCAGGCCGACAUCGGCCUUGACGAUGCCCCAGUGGUCAACGAUGACGGCAUUCGUGAUCACGGUAUCCAUCACGUCGGCGUGGUUGCGCUGCGAUUGGCCCAUGCCGUCGCGGAU